rnacentral:rRNA from 1 species
CCUGAGAAAUAGCUACCACAUCCAAGGAAGGCAGCAGGCGCGCAAAUUACCCAAUCCUGACACAGGGAGGUAGUGACAAGAAAUAACGAUACCGGGCCUUUUUGGCUUGGCAAUUGGAAUGAGUACAAUUUAAAUCCCUUAACAAGGAACAAUUGGAGGGCAAGUCUGGUGCCAGCAGCCGCGGUAAUUCCAGCUCCAAUAGCGUAUAUUAAAUUUGCUGCAGUUAAAAAGCUCGUAGUUGGAUUUCUGGCGUGGUGCGUCUGGUCGCCUUGCGGGGGCAACUCCGUGGGUAGUACCGGGAAGCGCGCCUGCCAUCAGGCGGGUUCUUUUCGUUCGCAAGAGUGAGAGGAAGAAGCGGGCAGGCCUGGUUCCUCUUCGGAGGGGCAGCGUGGUGGCUCGUGUUUCCGCCCAUUUACUUUGAGCAAAUUAGAGUGUUCCAAGCAGGCUUUUUCAAAUCGAGGCUGUGAAUACAUGAGCAUGGAAUAAUAAGAUAGGACUCGGGUUCUAUUUUGUUGGUUUCCAGGAUCUGAGUAAUGAUUGAUAGGGACAGUUGGGGGUGCUAGAAUUCAACGGCCAGAGGUGAAAUUCUUGGAUUCGUUGAAGACUAACUUAUGCGAAAGCAUUCACCAAGGAUGUCUUCUUUAAUCAAGAACGAAAGUUGGGGGAUCGAAGACGAUCAGAUACCGCCGUAGUCUCAACUAUAAACGAUGCCAACUAGGGAUAUGUGGACGUUUGUUCGAAGACUCCAUAUGCACCUGACGAGAAAUCCAAGUUUUUGGGUUCUGGGGGGAGUAUGGUCGCAAGGCUGAAACUUAAAGGAAUUGACGGAAGGGCACACCAGGAGUGGAGCCUGCGGCUCAAUUUGACUCAACACGGGGAAACUUACCAGGUCCAGACAAUAAGAGGAUUGACAGAUUGAAGAUCUUUCUUGAUUUAUUGAGUGGUGGUGCAUGGCCGUUCUUAGUUGGUGGAGUGAUUUGUCUGGUUUAUUCCGUUAACGAACGAGACCUCGACUUGUUAACUAGUCCGGCGCAGCCUGCAAGGGUUGCGUUCUUUGGUCAAACGAAGAAAGUGGGCUUCUUAAAGGGACUCUCGGUGCGUAACCGAUGGAAGUUCGAGGCAAUAACAGGUCUGUGAUGCCCAAUCACUAGU